GAUGAACGCUGGCGGCGUGCCUAAUACAUGCAAGUCGAGCGAACAGACGAGGAGCUUGCUCCUCUGACGUUAGCGGCGGACGGGUGAGUAACACGUGGAUAACCUACCUAUAAGACUGGGAUAACUUCGGGAAACCGGAGCUAAUACCGGAUAAUAUAUUGAACCGCAUGGUUCAAUAGUGAAAGACGGUUUUGCUGUCACUUAUAGAUGGAUCCGCGCCGCAUUAGCUAGUUGGUAAGGUAACGGCUUACCAAGGCAACGAUGCGUAGCCGACCUGAGAGGGUGAUCGGCCACACUGGAACUGAGACACGGUCCAGACUCCUACGGGAGGCAGCAGUAGGGAAUCUUCCGCAAUGGGCGAAAGCUUGACGGAGCAACGACGCGUGAGUGAUGAAGGUCUUCGGAUCGUAAAACUCUGUUAUUAGGGAAGAACAAAUGUGUAAGUAACUAUGCACGUCUUGACGGUACCUAAUCAGAAAGCCACGGCUAACUACGUG
rnacentral:rRNA from 1 species